rnacentral:misc_RNA from 1 species
GGAGUUCAGAAAUGUACUUAUGUCCCCAUCACCCAUAAUCAAACUCAAGAAUGAAGCAUUAUGCUGCCGAACAAGCACCUGAAGAAAUUCAAGGGCCUGUGUCAUAAUUUCACUCUCAUGAAAACCUAAUCCAUCUAUUGGAUCGGAAUCCUCUGACAAAGUGGACUGCGGACUAGUAAAUAGUGCAUCUUUUAAUGCAGACCAAAGGGAUUUUGUGUACUUUUCCAUCCUAUCUCCUCCAUAUUUCAAUGUGCAGAAGCUAAGGUACUUCAAAGAUUCCACCUUUGCUGACGGCAGAGAAGAAGAUAGUUUGUCAAGAAGUAAUGGAAUGACCGAGGGUUCAAAAAGUG